CAGUUUCGACAUUGGUUUUGAAAAACAAAGAAGUUUCAAGUUUCAGCUAUUUUUUAUCAUAGAAAACUGAAUGGAAGACUGAUUCACCAGAAUCAUGUUAUCACCAAUAACAUACAUAUUACGUAUGUAAACGUGUAUACAUGGCCGCAAGAGAAAUAGAAGAACAAAAUAAAAUGCGCCGUAUGAAUUUUGGGUGUCGCGACUCCCCAUGCUCUCCACUCCAUGCUGUUUCUCAGAUUUCAGCCCUGAGCCAGCCAUCGUAACCACAAGAUGUGCAAGUUUUGAUACUGACCUGUCAUCACAAACAAACUAAGCAUCAUCAAUUGGAUAAUCAGCUCCUAGUUUAAUUGGAAAAACUCUGUCCUCGUGUUGUACACCCAUGUGAAGGUGUGUGUAUAUUCAUGAUGACCCCCUUUUCCUAUCCUGCCUGGCGUCAACUUGACUGAGGAUGGAGAACUUGUUGAUACCUGGCUGUGAAUUUCCCCGGCUUAAAGGUAGGACAAUUGUCUCUCUAUUCUUCCUUUUCUUUUACUAUUCGUUGGCGUUGGUUAUGAAACGUUACGGAGUACGAUUAUUCCUGAGUUAUAGGCCUUUGACUGCAAGUUUUAGCUCUUGCCGUGUCUGUUAUCUCAAUCAGGGUUUAUUAAAUAAUUCAUAUGUAGAGCGACUGCACAUUAGGCUUGUUUUAUAGCUCACAACUUUGUCUUCUGGUAAACAACCAAAUCGAAGAAAAAUUGUUAAAUUUUAAACACUUCAAACAAUGUGUUAAGUCUUUAAAAUUGUAUUUCCAAGAGGGACCCUCCGCCACACCGGCAUCUCCUCGUUAGAACUGGAAAGGAAGAUAGUUUAUAAAGUUCAAUCAAUCACGAAAUGGAUGAUGACUCAUCAGAAUAUUAUAAGGCACGGUUGAGAGUUGGAAUUCCCGUUUCGUAGAGAUGCUGGACGGAAGUGGGACUAUGUGCAAGGGGCCGAGUUAACUCGCAAACUCCGCGUUGGAAGUUGAUUUUGAAAAUUUGCUCUGGACCUGUCAGAAUCUUGCAGAACGACACCCUUCGGUAUGAGACACCGCAACACCCGGAAGCGUGUUAAUCCAUCCGCACGUUAUCAGAAAAUGCAGGAAAACCAGUUAAACCACAACCCAAACAAAGAAAGUGAAAUGAUACAGGCUGAGUGCUGCAAAUGCCGUUGACUUUUGAUAGAUAUAAA